GUUCAAGAGAACAUAAACAGGAAAAGUUGUGCUUUACGCUGUUUUCUAAUGAUAAUUUACUCUUGCUUUUGAAAAUACCUAACCGUUGUCUAAAAUGUCAGCACUGGGAUUUUAAACGAAGGAAGUUUUUCACCCAGAGGGUGGUGACGCACUGAACAGGUUGCCCAAGGAGGCUGUGGAUGCCCCAUCCCUGCAGGCAUUCAAGGCCAGGCUGGAUGUGGCUCUGGGCAGCCUGGUCUGCUGGUUGGCGACCCUGCACACAGCAGGGGGUUGGAACUGGAUGAGCACUGUGGUCCUUUUCAACCCAGGCCGUUCUAUGAUUCUGUGAUUUCUGACAUUGAGGAAAAUGUGCCAGUUUUCAUUUCGCCAUUCCUUGAGCUCGUGCAGCCUCUCCGUAUCUGCCAGUCCCCAGCAGGGAACUGCAGGGCACAGAGCAUCACUCAAAGCAUCGGCAGCCAAUGCUACGGACAUCCUGGGAAAAGGGAUCAGCAUUCCCAGCACUGCUGGGGACAAGAGUGUAAAACUCAAUAACUUGGGCAAAAAGGUGGCUUGGUUUAGACCUCUAUUGGAACUACAUGACCUUUCAGUCCCUUCCAGCCCAAGCCAUUCUAUGAUAACCUCUGCAGGCUCAAUAGGAGCUCAAGAGGGCUGGCUCCUUUUGCAUGUUGUCAGCAUGCAACAGACAAACACGUAUCACAACUUCUAAAAGUGUCUGAGUAUGUUCUGGCACACAGGCACGUCCCAGCUGGGGAGCAUGGAUGUGUUUCUUUCUUUUGGAGCCAGUGAGUGAAUUUUGGUUUCAUUGAGGCCAAUGGGAAUUUCUCCAGCGCCUCUAUCAGUGAUGACAGCUGGAUUGGAGCUGAAGAAAAGAGUUGGACGAAAUUGGUUUUGGGGACUGAAACGUUUUACAAAUUCCUCUUGGUUUGGUGGAAAACAAACAUCAGGAAGGGUAAGGAAACGUCUCCAAGAUGUAUUAUAUUUCUUGUUUUAGAAGAUUGCUAAAUGUAAAUGCCUGUCUUCCC
ensembl:lncRNA